rnacentral:lncRNA from 14 species
CCUUAGCAGUGAGGUCUUCCCUGGCUUUUAUCAUCCAAGAUUACCCUAGUGCUGAUGAGCUAACAAGAUCUGACAAGAUCACAGCACAGGGCAGUAUACCUGCAGGUAAAACAAAGGUCGCUUUGGAGUCAUUUUCUCACAGUCUGGAGCACAUAAAUGUUCAACUCUCAGAGGUUUUGCAGUAGCAAGGGAAUACUGGUAGCCCAGUAAAUGACGUUCUAUCUGUUUGGUGAAGGCAUGCUUGGAUCGCCUCCACAGGCUACUGGAGGCCCAGCAUGAGCACAUUUAUAAAACAUCACCAGCACAAAUCCUAUGUCAUUGUACAGGCAAAUGAGUUAGUGGCUUAGAUAAUUCAUCAGCCAGCUGUCAGAUGCAGGAGAAGCAAGCUCACUCCUUGUCACAGAAAAAGCAGGGAGAAGCUACCUUAGCAGCAUGCCUGUUCAAAAUUUCAGGAUCUGCUGUGACCCACUGUUAUGGGAAACAGUUGCCUGUACUGCUGGGGCACCAUCUUGUGAAGAUGUUUGUCUGGAGGGACCUGCUCUGCAGCAAGGGCUUGGAAAUGCUCCUAUAUUACAAGCAGAAAACAGCCAUCCUGCCCUUUCUGAGAAGUCCUUGGUUCUGGAGGUGCACAGUCAAGCUGGGAAGGGCUCCUCGCUGAGGCACCUCACGCACAGGCUACAGAAGUGGCAGUGCAGGGUGCAUCUAGGCUGCAGUAAACUGACAGCCCAUCAAGAGGAAAUGGAGAUCAUCAGUUCCUGCAGUGGGCAUUUCUCACUUACUGUCACUGGCCAAACAAGAAGCUAG